rnacentral:rRNA from 1 species
AUGGGCGAAAGCCUGAUCCAGCAAUGCCGCGUGCAGGAUGAAGGCCUUCGGGUUGUAAACUGCUUUUGUACGGAACGAAAAAGCUCCUUCUAAUACAGGGGGCCCAUGACGGUACCGUAAGAAUAAGCACCGGCUAACUACGUGCCAGCAGCCGCGGUAAUACGUAGGGUGCGAGCGUUAAUCGGAAUUACUGGGCGUAAAGCGUGCGCAGGCGGUUAUGUAAGACAGAUGUGAAAAUCCCCGGGCUCAACCUGGGAACUGCAUUUGUGACUGCAUGGCUAGAGUACGGUAGAGGGGGAUGGAAUUCCGCGUGUAGCAGUGAAAUGCGUAGAUAUGCGGAGGAACACCGAUGGCGAAGGCAAUCCCCUGGACCUGUACUGACGCUCAUGCACGANAGCGUGGGGAGCAAACAGGAUUAGAUACCCUGGUAGUCCACGCCCUAAACGAUGUCAACUGGUUGUUGGGAAUUAGUUUUCUCAGUAACGAAGCUAACGCGUGAAGUUGACCGCCUGGGGAGUACGGCCGCAA